UGCCCUACGGGGGGCAGCAGUGGGGAAUAUUGCACAAUGGGGGAAACCCUGAUGCAGCGACGCCGCGCGAGUGAAGAAGUAUUUCGGUAUGUAAAGCUCUAUCAGCAGGGAAGAAAAUGACGGUACCUGACUAAGAAGCCCCAGCUAACUACGUGCCAGCAGCCGCGGUAAUACGUAGGGGGCAAGCGUUAUCCGGAUUUACUGGGUGUAAAGGGAGCGUAGACGGUAGAGCAAGUCUGAAGUGAAAGCCCGCGGCUCAAC
rnacentral:rRNA from 1 species